GAUGAACGCUGGCGGCGUGCCUAAUACAUGCAAGUCGAGCGAACAGACGAGGAGCUUGCUCCUCUGACGUUAGCGGCGGACGGGUGAGUAACACGUGGAUAACCUACCUAUAAGACUGGGAUAACUUCGGGAAACCGGAGCUAAUACCGGAUAAUAUAUUGAACCGCAUGGUUCAAUAGUGAAAGACGGUUUUGCUGUCACUUAUAGAUGGAUCCGCGCCGCAUUAGCUAGUUGGUAAGGUAACGGCUUACCAAGGCAACGAUGCGUAGCCGACCUGAGAGGGUGAUCGGCCACACUGGAACUGAGACACGGUCCAGACUCCUACGGGAGGCAGCAGUAGGGAAUCUUCCGCAAUGGGCGAAAGCUUGACGGAGCAACGCCGCGUGAGUGAUGAAGGUCUUCGGAUCGUAAAACUCUGUUAUUAGGGAAGAACAAAUGUGUAAGUAACUAUGCACGUCUUGACGGUACCUAAUCAGAAAGCCACGGCUAACCACGUG
rnacentral:rRNA from 1 species